GCAAGUCGAGCGGUAGCAGGGAGAAAGCUUGCUUUCUCCGCUGACGAGCGGCGGACGGGUGAGUAAUGUCUGGGGAUCUGCCUGAUGGAGGGGGAUAACUACUGGAAACGGUAGCUAAUACCGCAUAACGUCGCAAGACCAAAGUGGGGGACCUUCGGGCCUCAUGCCAUCAGAUGAACCCAGAUGGGAUUAGCUAGUAGGUGGGGUAAUGGCUCACCUAGGCGACGAUCCCUAGCUGGUCUGAGAGGAUGACCAGCCACACUGGAACUGAGACACGGUCCAGACUCCUACGGGAGGCAGCAGUGGGGAAUAUUGCACAAUGGGCGCAAGCCUGAUGCAGCCAUGCCGCGUGUAUGAAGAAGGCCUUCGGGUUGUAAAGUACUUUCAGUAGGGAGGAAGGUGUGAACGUUAAUAGCGCUCACAAUUGACGUUACCUACAGAAGAAGCACCGGCUAACUCCGUGCCAGCAGCCG
rnacentral:rRNA from 1 species